GGGGCUGAUUCUGGAUUCGACGGGAUUUGCGAAACCCAAGGUGCAUGCCGAGGGGCGGUUGGCCUCGUAAAAAGCCGCAAAAAAAUAGUCGCAAACGACGAAAACUACGCUUUAGCAGCUUAAUAACCUGCUUAGAGCCCUCUCUCCCUAGCCUCCGCUCUUAGGACGGGGAUCAAGAGAGGUCAAACCCAAAAGAGAUCGCGCGGAUGCCCUGCCUGGGGUUGAAGCGUUAAAACGAAUCAGGCUAGUCUGGUAGUGGCGUGUCCGUCCGCAGGUGCCAGGCGAAUGUAAAGACUGACUAAGCAUGUAGUACCGAGGAUGUAGGAAUUUCGGACGCGGGUUCA
rnacentral:tmRNA from 2 species